rnacentral:rRNA from 1 species
CAGUAGCCACGGUAAAACGUAGGGUGCAAGCGUUAAUCGGAAUUACUGGGCGUAAAGCGUGCGCAGGCGGUUAUAUAAGACAGAUGUGAAAUCCCCGGGCUCAACCUGGGAACUGCAUUUGUGACUGUAUAGCUAGAGUACGGCAGAGGGGGAUGGAAUUCCGCGUGUAGCAGUGAAAUGCGUAGAUAUGCGGAGGAACACCGAUGGCGAAGGCAAUCCCCUGGGCCUGUACUGACGCUCAUGCACGAAAGCGUGGGGAGCAAACAGGAUUAGAGACCCCAGUAGUCCCUGUCUCUUAUAC